GUUUGCACUCAUCGGGGAAGGGUGAGAACCUUCGACUAAGGUUCGAUUCGAGCGAAAGAGAGAGAACGUUGCCACAGGCAACGGCCCGAAGGGUGAGGAGCGAAGCGACGAAUAAUCCUUCCCCCACCACCA
rnacentral:sRNA from 1 species